AAACUAAGGAUGACAGUUUGAACUUAACUUCCUCCAUCUCCCAGAUGCUGUCCUGAUGCACAAGCCCUCCCAUGUCCCCUUCCAUGCCACACAGAACAGGUCCUGGAUCUUGAAGGCCUUUUGACAGGACUGAAUCUCGUCCAUCAUUUAUGGGGGGACGCAAUAUCAGAACAGGCAGAAGAAAACGGUCAUCACUGGGAUUGCCUUUUUAAGAGAAGAGGAAUGCCAUUUAUUCAAGGUUUGGAAUCAGUGGAAUGAGGUAGACUGAGUUACUUCUUUGGACAUGUCUUCAAUUAGGAUUAGAAAAACUGAAGGAAGCACAUUAUUACUUUUUUUCUGAUGAUACAUAUUUCAAAUCCCAUCUAAAAUGCAAAUUCAAAAAGAGCUCUUUGGUCUGAGUCUAGUUAUUCUCUACAUAACAGGCCUGCUCCAAGCAAGCAGCUGCAUAGGAUUUUUCCCAUGUUGCUUUGCCAAUGACCUUGACCCCAUGAGGACCAUCAUUCAAAGAGACUGCAG